rnacentral:rRNA from 1 species
AGUGAAUAGAUACCCCCGGUAGUCCACGCUGUAAACGAUGAGUGCUGGACGUUGGCGGGUUUACCUGCCGGUGUCGCAGCUAAACGCGUUAAGCACUCCGCCUGGGGAGUACGGCCGCAAGGUUAAAACUCAAAGGAAUUGACGGGGGCCCGCACAAGCGGUGGAGCAUGUGGUUUAAUUCGACGCAACGCGCAGAACCUUACCAGCCCUUGACAUGGGCGGACGGGGUCCAGAGAUGGACUCUUUCUCGCAAGAGACCGCUACACAGGUGCUGCAUGGCUGUCGUCAGCUCGUGUCGUGAGAU